rnacentral:rRNA from 1 species
ACGCUGGCGGCGUGCCUAAUACAUGCAAGUAGAACGCUGAAGAGAGGAGCUUGCUCUUCUUGGAUGAGUUGCGAACGGGUGAGUAACGCGUAGGUAACCUGCCUUGUAGCGGGGGAUAACUAUUGGAAACGAUAGCUAAUACCGCAUAACAAUAGGUGACACAUGUCAUUUAUUUGAAAGGGGCAAUUGCUCCACUACAAGAUGGACCUGCGUUGUAUUAGCUAGUAGGUGAGGUAACGGCUCACCUAGGCGACGAUACAUAGCCGACCUGAGAGGGUGAUCGGCCACACUGGGACUGAGACACGGCCCAGACUCCUAGGGGAGGCAGCAGUAGGGAAUCUUCGGCAAUGGGGGCAACCCUGACCGAGCAACGCCGCGUGAGUGAAGAAGGUUUUCGGAUCGUAAAGCUCUGUUGUAAGUCAAGAACGAGUGUGAGAGUGGAAAGUUCACACUGUGACGGUAGCUUACCAGAAAGGGACGGCUAACUACGUGCCAGCAGCCGCGGUAAUACGUAGGUCCCGAGCGUUGUCCGGAUUUAUUGGGCGUAAAGCGAGCGCAGGCGGUUUGAUAAGUCUGAAGUUAAAGGCUGUGGCUCAACCAUAGUUCGCUUUGGAAACUGUCAAACUUGAGUGCAGAAGGGGAGAGUGGAAUUCCAUGUGUAGCGGUGAAAUGCGUAGAUAUAUGGAGGAACACCGGUGGCGAAAGCGGCUCUCUGGUCUGUAACUGACGCUGAGGCUCGAAAGCGUGGGGAGCGAACAGGAUUAGAUACCCUGGUAGUCCACGCCGUAAACGAUGAGUGCUAGGUGUUGGAUCCUUUCCGGGAUUCAGUGCCGCAGCUAACGCAUUAAGCACUCCGCCUGGGGAGUACGACCGCAAGGUUGAAACUCAAAGGAAUUGACGGGGGCCCGCA